rnacentral:lncRNA from 1 species
AGUCAUUCUCAAUGAUUUUUUUAAUCUAGGAAAAACAAGCCUGGAAAUUAUGUUACAAUGGGUUGAAAAUGUUCCUAAAUGAAAACGUAAUCAAUAAGAAUAUGUAAACUCAAUAUAUUUCUGAUCAAUUCGAAGUGGCUUGUCCAUUUUGUACUUAUGUGCAAAAUAUUAAGCGGUUCCGUAGACACUGUGCUGACAUCAUACAUAAAAUAGCCGUCGAUCGUCAAAGUCAUUAUGAUAACGUUGCAUGGCCGGCUCUCCAUGGCAAUGACACAAUAAAAUUGUACAUGUAUAAAUGAUACAAAUUGCAUAUAAAUGACAACUGUCUCUCUAUUGGGCUGCUGGUCUGUCCACACGCGGUGUUUAACGAGUCGAGCAUUUUACGGCUACGACUUGGGGUCCACUUGAAUGUCACAGUACAAUUGUACACAGGUCCUUUCUCAAUCUGGCUCUUGCUACUCCCUAAUUAAGUCAUUUGAUCUAUCUACUUUGGAAUAUCACUAUGAUCUGCCUCUGUUGUGAUGCCUAGGUUCCAAUGCUACCUCUAAACGAACGGAAGCUUGUAAUUUACAUAUCGCCACCAUGCCUAGCUAAGCGUCUGGAUUAAAGCUACAUUGUAUAUCCUUUCUAAAAUAAGCUCUGGCAUGAUCUUCUACAUGUCACUUGGUGGUCGAUCUAUCGGUCGGUGGGUCGGUCGGUCUGUCUGUCCCCAAAAAUAGACCCAAAAAUAGUUGACCAAAAAUUUAGCAAAAUUGCCAUGCCCUCGUCAGUAAAUGCACUCUUCACAAAAGAGAACGCCGAAUCCGUGAGACGCCUGGCCAUGUGGGGAUCUGUCAUUUUGCUUUGGGAGCGCUGUUCAAAGCGGACGACAAAAGUCGCCCAUGGUAAAGAAGGAGUUUUAAUUAACACAAAUAUGGCAUGUCUUUUUCAAUUAUUUUUAUUCUAGGAAUAACAAUCCUGGUAAUUAUGAUAAUGGUUUAACAUGUUUCUGAAUAACCAUGAAAUAAGCCGAAUAUAAGUACAUGUAGGCCUACGUAAACACGUACCGUGAAAAUGUGUCAAUUUUAAUUCAGAUCAACUUUCUUCAGUUUAUAAUUAUCUCAAGGUGUUUUAUAUGCAACAUCACAAUUAAAACAAAAUCUUACUCAAGUAGAAAUGCACUGUCAUACACCACUACAACAGCAUUCGAAACUAGCACUGCUUUUGUUAUCUAUAACAGCCGAUAAGGCUAGUUGCGUAAUUGGCGACCAAAUUGUAAGUUGGCCAAGUUUGGCUCUUUGUAUGCCAGCGCAUUUUCAUGAGCCGUCUACCAUGUUAUGAUAUCAUUCCUGUAUAAUUUAUGUAGUCUUAUGUGCAACAUAUAACGCGGUUCCGUAGUCACUGUGCAUACACAAAAUAGCCGUCACAACAGCUGUUCAAUUGUAUAUUUGAAUCGGAACGUUGCGCAGUGGCGCCACAUUUCACAGCGGCGCAACAGAUUUGUUGUAUACAUUCUACGAAUGGCGUAUAAAAUAAUGACUGUCUCGCGAUUCGACUGCUGGUCUGUUUACACGUGGUGUUUAACUAAUCGAGUAUUUUAGGGCCAAUCUCACAGUACAAUGUACAUAGGGCCUUCGAUCUUGUCAUUUCCUAAACUGAUGCGAUCUACAGCUCUACUUUGGAAUAUCGAA